UACAGCCUACGGGGGCAGCAGUGGGGGAUAUUGCACAAUGGGGGAAACCCUGAUGCAGCGACGCCGCGUGUAGGAAGACGGUCCUCUGGAUUGUAAACUACUGUCCCCAGGGACGAAGAUGACGGUACCUGGGGAGGAAGCUCCGGCUAACUACGUGCCAGCAGCCGCGGUAAUACGUAGGGAGCGAGCGUUGUCCGGAAUUACUGGGUGUAAAGGGAGCGUAGGCGGGGAUGCAAGUUGGGUGUUAAAUCUACCGGCUCAACUGGGAGUCGCACUCAGAACUGCAGCUCUUGAGUGAAGUAGAG
rnacentral:rRNA from 1 species